AGGUACUGCUUGACCUGCUGGUUCUGGGUCUGGUGGAGGUGGAACUUGGAGUUCUCCAGGUGGCUGUGUACCUGCAGCCAAAGCAAUCAUGCACAUUAAGUCAGCUGUGAGCUUGAGCAUCCUGAUAUAAAACACUUGAUCGGAAAAAAGAACACCACCUGAGGAGAGGAGAAAAAACAGAUGUAUUGUUUGACUGCUGGAAAAAAAAGCCACAAAUCAACAAUCAGUUGGGGACUCAAAAUGAAGGAUGUGUUUCAGGAAGCCACCUUGAGGACAUGACUCUUCGAGAUCAAGACCUACACCUGGCCCUGAGAGUCACAGUCCCGACUGAGAGCUGACAGCAGAACUAAAGGCCUCCUGUUGCUCUGCGGGCAGGGUCGACAGAUACACUGCACCUCGGAGCAACAGUCAACAGCGCCGCGGUGUUCGCGCCUCUUUACAUCCGGCUGCAGGCCUGAUUCACAGUCUCGGGGAUCCAACCUGUUCAUUUGUCAUCAGUGACACAUCAGUGACACUACUUAAUUAAAAUAGAUAUUAAUCAGAAGACAGGGAACUUUGUGGUUUAAUGAAAUAGAGUUACAGAUGUGUUAUUUGUGAAGUUAUUGCUCAGUGGCUGUAGCUACCUGGUGACUCAAGCUAAUGGGAAUAUAUAACAGCUAACACUGGAGAGGAGCAGUACAUGCACUAACAUAAGACAACAGCCACAAUCUUUCUGAGCCAUGAAUAAAACAAACAAACUGACCUUAAAGGGCAACACAGUUUAAUACUGUUUUACUUUGUUUAUAUUUGGCGGACCCUGCCACCUUUUCCAGCUUCAUACAGUGUUCUGGGGACCUGAAUUUCCUCUGAGAACAGCUUUUUUAUUCAGUUAUUGAACAAAUAUAUAUAUUUCUUCGAUUGUAUUAAAGCCUCAUUAAUAAGUAAAUAUAUACAGUUUGAAUUUCCUCUGCAAAAACUACAUAGUGCCCCUUUAAAAUCUAUC